rnacentral:piRNA from 1 species
CCAUGGUGGAUAGAUGAAAGGCC